AGGGCACCACCAGGAGUGGAGCCUGCGGCUUAAUUUGACUCAACACGGGAAACCUCACCCGGCCCGGACACGGACAGGAUUGACAGAUCGAUAGCUCUUUCUCGAUUCCGUGGGUGGUGGUGCAUGGCCGUUCUUAGUUGGUGGAGCGAUUUGUCUGGUUAAUUCCGAUAACGAACGAGACUCUGGCAUGCUAACUAGUUACGCGACCCCCCGAGCGGUCGGCGUCCCCCAACUUCUUAGAGGGACAAGUGGCGUUCAGCCACCCGAGAUUGAGCAAUAACAGGUCUGUGAUGCCCUUAGAUGUCCGGGGCUGCACGCGCGCUACACUGACUGGCUCAGCGUGUGCCUACCCUACGCCGGCAGGCGCGGGUAACCCGUUGAACCCCAUUCGUGAUGGGGAUCGGGGAUUGCAAUUAUUCCCCAUGAACGAGGAAUUCCCAGUAAGUGCGGGUCAUAAGCUUGCGUUGAUUAAGUCCCUGCCCUUUGUACACACCGCCCCGUCGCUACUACCGAAUGGAU
rnacentral:rRNA from 1 species